rnacentral:misc_RNA from 1 species
GAAAUGCGAUAAGUAAUGUGAAUUGCAGAAUUCAGUGAAUCAUCGAAUCUUUGAACGCACAUUGCGCCCCUCGGUAUUCCGGGGGGCAUACCUGUUCGAGCGUCAUUACACCUCUCAAGCGUAGCUUGGUAUUGGGCCUCCGCUCCCUCAAAAGGGCGGGCCUGAAAAGCAGUGGCGGCCCGGCUCGGCCUUGAACGUAGUACAUUUUCUCCCGUUCUGAAGGUCCGCGACGAGGCUUGCCAGAAACACCCAUAUUUUCAAGAAUUGACCUCGGAUCAGGUAGGGAUACCCGCUGAACUUAA